AGAAUUGGCUGAGUGGUCUAUAGCGAUAAGCUUGAAACUUAUUUUAGUACAACCUACUAACAUCCGUUCGAAUCGGAUAUUCUCUGAAUAAUAUAUACGGGCCAGGGCCGGGUUGGUUAGGCACCUCAUUUGGGUUGAGGAGUAGUUAUGUUCGAAUCAUAAUGACCCGAAAUAACGAAAUGACGUUUGUAAAUUACAAUAGUAAUGUAUUAGAUAUGUAAUGUAAAAUUUCAUCAUAAGCUAUUUGUUUAUGAUGGCAAGUAUAUAAAGAAACUAUUAGGAAUAUCUAGCUAUAUAUCAAAAAGAGUUUUUUAACUAGUACAUCGAUGAGAGUCGAUGAACUUGAACUUUUGGAAAAAUCCUAUAAAUAAACGAAGUGAAUUGAAAUAUCUUAUUAGCUUCAGGAAUAGAAAUCAAACGAGAUUCUAUGAUUAGUGUGAAUGAAAGUAGAAAAGCCUAAAAGUAAAAUGGAUUAAAAUCUGUUUGAAUAAAGGGGAACCUUCCUCUAAGGCUAAAUAUGAUAUAUAAGCGACAGUGAACUAGUACCGAGAGGGAAAGAUUUGAAAUAGUAGUUUUAUAAGCAGCUCAAGUAAAGUUUAAAUAACAAAUGAGAGCGUACCUUUUGCAUAAUGGGUCAGCAAGUUAAUAUUAGAUGCGAGAAAAGCAUUUUUUCAUAUGUGUGAAAAAAGUAAGUCUUAUUCCUAGAUAAACCGAUUAUUAAAUAAUGAAUUAGUAUCUAAAAUUAGACCCGAAGCCUGGUGAUCUUACCAUGAUCAGGGUUAUAAAAGCCCGAACGGGUUAUCGUUGUAAAGAUAUCCGAAGAAUUGUGGUAAGUUAGUGAAAGACAAUACUGACCAGGAUAGCUGGUUUUCCGCGAAACCUAUAUAAGUAGGUAAUUCAAAUAACAUCAUAGCAGGUACAGAAUUGUGAUCUCAGACAAAUGGUAUUUAACGCUUCGCGCUAAAUACAUUUGUAUAUAUCGGGGGGUCGUGAAGACUUUAUCGGUGAGAAUUUGCUCUCGGAAGGGCAAUGAUGAAUAUUGAAUAAUCGGACAUAGUACGAUAAGGUUGUAUGUCCAAAGGGAAACAGCCCAGAACAAGUGUUUAAGGUUCCAAAAUUAUUGUUAAGUGAAAUUAAGGAAGUUUUUUUCAAAUACAACCAGGAAAUAGGCUUAGAAGCGGCCAUUUUUUAAAGACCUCGUAACAGAGCACUGGUUCAAUUAAUAAGUUAAAAGCACCGAAAAUUUAACGGAUCUAAACAAUAUACCGACACCUUGUCCAUAAGUAUUAAUAAAAUUAUAAUUGUAUUUAUGGGGUAGCGGAACGUUGGGCAAAUCAAAGAUAUAAUCUUUUUAAGAUUAUAUAAUUAUGGGCUUUUGUCUGAACACUUUUCGAGAUUCGGCCGGAAACGGAGGAAUCAAGAGGGUAAGUAAGCUAGUCCAUCGACCUUAGGUAGAACUUCUACCUUUGGCAGAUGAUAACCCAAGUGAGAAUGCUGACAUGAGUAACGAAAAAGGGAAUAAUUACCCCCUCGCCUUAAGCUUAUGGUAUUUAUAUAAAGUAACGGCCUCUAAGUUUAUAGACCUGCCCUAAAGGACUAAACGAUGAGAAAAGCUUUUAUGCAGAAUUAACCCGCGGUAGAGUACCGUUGGUUCUGGAAAAAUCUGCAAAUUAUCGAAACCGUACCUAGAUACUACCCCUGUCCAAGUAAGCUAGUAGAGUAUACGAAGGCGUUUGAGCUAACAAUCAUUAAGGAACUCGGCAAAAUGACACCGUAACUUCGGGAUAAGGUGUGCCAUUCUUCCAUCGCCCGGCUUCCGGGCGAUGGUUAAGAAUAGGAGGCAUAGAAUGGUGUUGUACGACUGUUUAAUUAAAACAAAGCACUUUGCGUAAGAUGACAAAUCAAAGUAUUGAGUGUGAAUUCUGCCCAAUGUUGGCUGGUUAACGGAUUUACUUAGCUGACUAAAAUAAGCUAGGAUUUGAAGGAACCCCCAAUCAAUGGCGGCCUUACCGAUGAGGGUCCUAAGGUAGCGGAAUACCUUGGCCGUUAAAUGCGGUCUUGCAUGAAUGAUUUAACGAUACAACAGCUGUCUCAAUGAUUGGCUCAGUGAAAUUGGAAUAACUGUGCAGAUACAGUUUACCUCUAGUUAGACGAGAAGACCCUAUGCAGCUUUACUGUUGCUAGUUAUUGGAUAUGAUCAAACGAGUUGUAGUGUAUAAGGUAGUUGGUGAGAUACAAUUGAAACACCUUUACUUAGUUUAUCAUAUCAGUAGAAUACCGCGAAAGCUUUACAAACUACUUCGACCAAUGAAAAUUGGUCGAUGGAAGAGUAAGUGAGUAGGUAAAAUCUACAUUACUUAUCCAAAAAGGAAGAGGGGUUUAAUGGUUUUUACCAUUUAACCCGGGAAACAGUUGCUAGUAGACAGUUUAUGCGGGGCACAGAUCCCAUAAAAAGUACCUGGGUGUAUCCAAAGUUAAUUUUGUAAAUUUACUCGGUUUCGCAAUAAAACUGCGUUACCGAGUAAUUAAACAU
rnacentral:rRNA from 1 species